ensembl:lncRNA
GUUAAUUUGAGUGCUCAUUAAUUAGGGUUCCCAUUAAUUUAUGUCCUCUUUCAUUGGGGUUCCCGUUAAUUGGGGUCCUCUCUGGGUUUGGGUCGCCGUUGAUGGUGGGUUCCCGUUGGUUUGCGUUCCCAUUGAUGAGCUUUGCCGUUAAUUGGGGUUCUCGUUAAUUUUUGGUCUCAUCAAUGAGGGUAACCAUUAAUUUAAGACUCAUUAAUUGGGGUAGCCGUUAAUUUAUGACCCAUUAAUUGGGAUUCCCUUAAUUGGGGUCCCCUCUUGGUUUGGGUCGCCGUUGAUGGAGGGUUCCCGUUGGUUUGCGUUCCCAUUGAUGAGCUUUGCCGUUAAUUGGGGUUCUCAUUAAUUUUAGGUCUCAUUAAUUUGGGUUUUUGUUAAUUUGAGUGCUCAUUAAUUAGGGUUCCCAUUAAUUUAUGUCCUCUUUCAUUGGGGUUCCCGUUAAUUGGGGUCCUCUCUGGGUUUGGGUCGCCAUUGAUUGCGGGUUCCCAUUGGUUUACAUUCCCAUUGAUGAGCUUUGCCAUUAAUUGGGGUUCUCGUUAGUUUUAGGUCUCAUUAAUGAGGGUAACCAUUAAUUUAAGACUUAUUAAUUGGGGUAGCCAUUAAUUUAUGACCCAUUAAUUGGGAUUCCCUUA